GAUGAACGCUGGCGGCGUGCCUAAUACAUGCAAGUCGAGCGAACGGACGAGAAGCUUGCUUCUCUGAUGUUAGCGGCGGACGGGUGAGUAACACGUGGAUAACCUACCUAUAAGACUGGGAUAACUUCGGGAAACCGGAGCUAAUACCGGAUAAUAUUUUGAACCGCAUGGUUCAAAAGUGAAAGACGGUCUUGCUGUCACUUAUAGAUGGAUCCGCGCUGCAUUAGCUAGUUGGUAAGGUAACGGCUUACCAAGGCAACGAUGCAUAGCCGACCUGAGAGGGUGAUCGGCCACACUGGAACUGAGACACGGUCCAGACUCCUACGGGAGGCAGCAGUAGGGAAUCUUCCGCAAUGGGUGAAAGCCUGACGGAGCAACGCCGCGUGAGUGAUGAAGGUCUUCGGAUCGUAAAUCUCUGUUAUUAGGGAAGAACAUAUGUGUAAGUAACUGUGCACAUCUUGACGGUACCUAAUCAGAAAGCCACGGCUAACUACGUG
rnacentral:rRNA from 1 species